ensembl:snRNA U1 U1 spliceosomal RNA
AUACUUAGCUGGCAGAGGUGAUACCAUGAUCAAGUAGGUGGUUUUCCUAGGUGAGGCUCAUCAUGGCACUCAGGGUGUGCUGACCCCUGUGACUUCCCCAAGUGGGGCAAACUUGACUGUAUGGUUUGUGGUAGUGAGGGACUGUGUUCCUGUUUUACUCUUA